AUUUCAUAACUCUCACAACAACCAUGAAUUCUCUUCGUUACAUAGCAACAUCUCUAUGUUGUGUAGUGGUUGUGUUUGGAAUGUUACCAUUCUCCUUAGAUGCACAACUGGAUCCAUCUUUUUACAGCAAAACAUGUACAAAUGUUAGUUCUAUUGUUCGUGAAGUCGUAAGGAAUGUUUCUAAGACGGAUCCUCGUAUGCUUGGUAGUCUCGUCAGGCUCUACUUUCAUGACUGUUUUGUUCAAGGUUGUGAUGCAUCAGUUUUGUUGAACAACACUGCCACUAUUGUGAGUGAACAACAAGCUUUCCCAAAUAACAACUCCUUAAGAGGUUUAGAUGUUGUGAAUCAAAUUAAGACAGCUGUGGAAAGUGUUUGUCCUAACACAGUUUCUUGUGCUGAUAUUCUUGCCCUUGCUGCUCAAGUAUCUUCUAGUCUGGCUGGUGGUCCUGAUUGGAAAGUUCCAUUAGGAAGAAGAGAUAGUUUAACAGCAAACCAAUCUCUUGCAAAUCAAAAUCUUCCAGCUCCAUUCGACACAUUGGAUAAACUUAAAUCUGCAUUUGUUGCUCAAGGUCUCAAUACUACUGAUCUAGUUGCUCUCUCGGGUGCUCAUACAUUUGGAAGAGCUCAUUGCUCUUUUAUUCUUAGUCGAUUAUACAACUUCAGCAAUACUGGAAAUCCUGAUCCAACUCUAAACACAACUUAUUUACAAGAUUUGCGCCAAAUAUGUCCCAAUAGUGGACCAAAUAACCUUGUCAAUUUUGAUCCAACAACUCCUGAUAAAUUUGACAAAAACUACUACUCUAAUCUUCAAGUCAAAAAGGGUUUGCUUCAAAGUGAUCAAGAGUUGUUCUCAACAUCUGGUGCUGAUACAAUUAGCAUUGUCAACAAAUUCAGCUCUGACCAAAAUGCUUUUUUUGAGAGCUUUAAGGCUGCAAUGAUUAAAAUGGGCAAUAUUGGUGUGCUAACUGGAAACAAAGGAGAGAUUAGAAAACAAUGCAACUUUAUUAAUCAAAAGUCAUCAAAUCUAGCUACUAUGGUCUCCGAAGAAUCAUUUGAGGCUGGUAUGGCUAGCUCAAUAUAAAUUCAGGGACAUUCUUUUUCCACUUCACAUACACUUUCUCUCCCAACCAUAAACAUGAACUCUCUUCUUUUAGUAGCAACAGCUCUAUGCUAUAUUGUGGUUGUGUUUGGAGUAUUACCCUUUUCCUCAAAUGCACAACUUGAUCCAUCCUUUUACAGCAAAACAUGUCCAAAUGUUAGUUCUAUUGUUCGUGAAGUUGUAAGGAACGUUUCUAAGACGGAUCCUCGUAUGCUUGCUAGUCUUGUCCGGCUUCACUUUCAUGACUGUUUUGUUCAAGGUUGUGACGCAUCAGUUUUGUUGAACAAGACUGAUACUAUUGUGAGCGAACAACAAGCUUUCCCAAAUAACAACUCUUUAAGAGGUUUAGAUGUUGUGAAUCAGAUCAAGACUGCAUUGGAAAGUGUUUGUCCUAACACAGUUUCUUGUGCUGAUAUUCUUGCUCUUGCUGCUGAAUUAUCUUCAACUCUGGCUGGUGGUCCUGAUUGGAAAGUUCCAUUAGGAAGAAGAGAUAGUUUAACAGCAAACCAAUCUCUAGCUAAUAUAAAUCUUCCAGCUCCAUUCGACACAUUGGACAAACUUAAAUCUGCUUUUGCUGCUCAAGGCCUCAACACUACUGAUCUAGUUGCUCUCUCAGGUGCUCAUACAUUUGGAAGAGCUCAUUGCAACUUAUUUGUUAGUCGAUUGUACAACUUCAGCAAUACUGGCAGUCCUGAUCCAACUCUAAACACAACUUAUUUAAAAGAUUUGCGCAAAAUAUGUCCUAAUAGUGGACCAGGCAAUAACCUCGCCAAUUUUGAUCCGACGACUCCUGAUAAAUUUGAUAAAAACUAUUACUCUAAUCUUAAGGUGAAAAAGGGUUUGCUUCAAAGUGAUCAAGAAUUGUUCUCAACAUCUGGCGCAGAUACUAUUGACAUUGUUAACAAAUUCAGCACCGACCAAAAAGCCUUUUUUGAAAGCUUUAAGGCUGCCAUGAUUAAAAUGGGCAAUAUUGGUGUGCUAACUGGAAACAAAGGAGAGAUUAGAAAACAAUGCAACUUUAUUACUUUCCCAAAUAACAACUCUUUAAGAGGUUUAGAUGUUGUGAAUCAGAUCAAGACUGCAUUGGAAAGUGUUUGUCCUAACACAGUUUCUUGUGCUGAUAUUCUUGCUCUUGCUGCUGAAUUAUCUUCAACUCUGGCUGGUGGUCCUGAUUGGAAAGUUCCAUUAGGAAGAAGAGAUAGUUUAACAGCAAACCAAUCUCUAGCUAAUAUAAAUCUUCCAGCUCCAUUCGACACAUUGGACAAACUUAAAUCUGCUUUUGCUGCUCAAGGCCUCAACACUACUGAUCUAGUUGCUCUCUCAGGUGCUCAUACAUUUGGAAGAGCUCAUUGCAACUUAUUUGUUAGUCGAUUGUACAACUUCAGCAAUACUGGCAGUCCUGAUCCAACUCUAAACACAACUUAUUUACAAGAUUUGCGCAAAAUAUGUCCUAAUAGUGGACCAGGCAAUAACCUCGCCAAUUUUGAUCCGACGACUCCUGAUAAAUUUGAUAAAAACUAUUACUCUAAUCUUAAGGUGAAAAAGGGUUUGCUUCAAAGUGAUCAAGAAUUGUUCUCAACAUCUGGCGCAGAUACUAUUGACAUUGUUAACAAAUUCAGCACCGACCAAAAAGCCUUUUUUGAAAGCUUUAAGGCUGCCAUGAUUAAAAUGGGCAAUAUUGGUGUGCUAACUGGAAACAAAGGAGAGAUUAGAAAACAAUGCAACUUUAUUAAUCAAAAGUCAUCAAAUCUAGCUACUAUGGUCUCCGAAGAAUCAUCUGAAGAUGGUAUGGCUAGUGCAAUAUAAAUAAAGGAAGCUUUUUUUUCACCUCAUAUAUACUUUAAAAUUACACUCUUAGAAAAAUAUAUUUUUCUAAGAUGUAUGUGUAGUUUUUCAGAAAUGUGAGGAAAAAAAAGUCUCCAAAUAAAUUAGGGUUGUUGUUGUUGUUGAAAUCCUAUGAUUAGAAGCCAAUCAGAAAGUCCUUUUUGUAUUAUGAGACCUUCUUUUCAUGUGCUCUAUAUAUGUAGUAAAUGGUUCAUUCCAAAACAAAAAGGUCCAAUAACAAAGUUAUCCCAAAA